CCAACCCAAUCAACCUAACCAACCCAAUCAACCUAACUAACCCAACCAACCCAAUCAACCUAACCAACCCAAAUAGCCCAACCAACCCAAAAAACCCAACCAACUCAAAUAACCCAUGCAGCAAAAACCUAUUGUUGUAAUUGUGUCAUUAAAAAUCUGCUAUCUGUCUGCUGAGGAAGGGCAGGGUGUAGCAUCUUCCUGUUUAAACCCGAACUGACUGUCUGUCAGUUGGCUGGAUGAACAUCUAGUGCAAUCAAACCUAUAUCCAAGACGAGUGAGCUCAACUGAAAGAAACCUCUCAGGGAGACACUCUGAUACAGAGACAGACCCCUGGCUCAAAGAAGACAGACCCCUGGCUCAAAGAAGACAGACCCCUGGCUCAAAGAAGACAGACCCCUGGCUCAAAGAAUACAGACAGACCCCCAGCUCAAAGAAUACAGACAGACCCCCAGCUCAAAGAAUACAGACCGGCGGACCCCUGGCUCAACGACAGACACAGACCCCUUGUUCAAAUGGAGUGAGGCCUCCUAUGGGCCAGUCACUCUCUGGGGAAAGUUGAAGUAGGGGAAAGGGGAAAGUUGAAGUAGGGGAAAGGGGAAAGUUGAAGUAGAAAAGCAUAAAUGGAUUCCUUACAUUUGUCCAGCCGGGUUCGAUUUAGGAGGAUUUUAGUUCUAAAUAUUCAUGUUGAUAUUUUUGUUUUAAUCGAAAAUGGGACUGAUAUGGGUACACUUUGCUGAUUAUGCCAUACGAUAUGUCACGCUGCUCGCUUGUCUGACCAAAAAGAUGUCGAAAGGGAAACUUUGAGAAUGUGUGAGUUGAAGCAAUGGGGAAAUGCAUUGUGGGAGUUGUCAACUGGAUUCUGAUAUUCCUUCCGGAUUUUAUUUGUUCAGAUGAUAGGGUUAGGGUUUGUCGUCAACAUUAAUAAUAAUUUAAUAAUAAACUCUUAAUAAUUUAUUUAUUUAAAAUAUAAUAAUAAACUUUUAAUAAUUUAUUAGAGUUUAAAUACCAUAAUCGUGGUAACAAGUUGUUUCUCUCUUUUUCCACACAUACUGUCAAUACCAACGUAUAUGUACAGUCAACUGGUGCAUGCUGGAAUGAAUUGUGUGUACCGGGUAUCAGAUCAAUAUGGAACUUGGAGUUUGUUUGGAUGAGGUGCCACUGAGACAAUGUCAUUGGAUGAGUUUGUCCCCUCUGAGCUCGACCAAUGGCUACUAACACUCCCCUUGUUCCAUGAUCUUGGUGUAAGGAACUUCUUCUGAAUCGCAUUAAAUAUCAUUUUUUUACCAGUUAUGUACUGGAGCAAGUCUUCAAUGUUUAUCUACAUACACUGAGUGUACAAACAUUAGGAACACCUUUCCUAAUAUGUUGUUUCAUCCUCUUUUGCCCUUAGAACAGCCUCAGUUUUGUCAGAGGCAUGGAGUCAACAAUGUGUCUAAAGCGUUCCACAGGGAUGCUGGCCCAUGUUGAUGCCAGUGACUCAAUCCGGUGUGCCUGGCACAUACUACCGUAGCCCGUUCGAAAAGGCAGAGAAAUAUUUUGUCUUGCCCCAUUCACCCUCUGAAUGGCACAGAUACACAACACAUGUCUCAUGACUUAACAAUCCUUCUUUAACCGGUUUCCUCCCCUUUCAUCUACAGUGGAUUUAACAAGUGACACGAAUAAGGAAUCAUAUUUUUCACCUGGUCAGCAUGUCAUGGAAGGAGCAGGUGUUCCUAAUGUUUUGUACACUCUGUGUAUUUUUAUUAUGUUUAAGGAGAUGUAUAAUUUAUUUGGUAAAAGAGGUAUAAUUUAUUUGGUAAAAGAGGUAUAAUUUAUUUGGUAAAAGAGGUAUAAUUUAUUUGGUAAAAGAGGUAUAAUUUAUUUGGUAAAAGAGGUAUAAUUUAUUUGGUAAAAGAGGUAUAAUUUAUUUGGUAAAAGAGGUAUAAUUUAUUUGGUAAAAGAGGUAUAAUUUAUUUGGUAAAAGAGGUAUUCAUGAUGUAUCUUUUUAGUAGAUUUAUGAGGAAAAGUUUUCAUGAUUACAAGUAACAUGUAUAUUAUGCCUGCCUUUUCUCUGAGGAGUUUAGUUUAAUGUGCACAUACACACAUUAAAUAUGUAUUUCUUGUAAUUACUUAAGAUUAUUACUUAUGGAAAGGUGUGUCAUACUACAUUUUGCAUUUUACUGACUGAAUGACUUUUUAAAAAACAAAGUAGUUUUGACAAAUGUUUUUAUGUGAGGAUACUUAAUAAGAAAUACUAGCAUUGUCCUCAUUCAAAAUGAAAAGUUUACUUUUCAAAAAAACUUUUGAUUUAUUGAUUUAAAUGUGUACUUUUUUUGAUUGUACUUUUAUUUUCUAUGGUGAACACAAAGAAGCAUAUUUUUAAUCGUCUGUGAAAUUAAAGAGGAUACCCCAGUCA